CAGGGUAUGACAAAUUACACCAAAUUGUAUAUAGACCAACUUACAGUUUUGAGUCUCAAAGAGCCUUCAACAAAUAAGAGCUUUGCAUGAAUACUGUUUAUGUAUACAACCCUAUUUGUGAUGCAUGUGGAGGGUGAGUUGAUAACAGAAGCAGAGAUGUCAAGAGCAUUCAUUUCACCAACCGUUGUGAACAAAAAGAGAACAAGUACAUGCUGGGUGCUUGCGCACUAAUGUUUCAGCUCUGUGAAUAUGAACUUCAUCACUUGUGCUACUGUAGAUUACUCGCAUAGAUGCUGUUGGACCAUUGAACAG
rnacentral:misc_RNA from 1 species